rnacentral:sRNA from 1 species
CCCAGAGGUAUUGAUAGGUGAAAAUCAACCCUGAGUUGAUUAACACAAAUUACACCAGCCUGCGUUUAUACGCAGGUUUUUUUU